AUGUUUAGGCCCUGUUUUGUUUUGCCUCGCCAUUCCAUCCAUUGCGUGCUCCAUCCUCCACUCCCUCCCUGUAUAAAUAGGGACUCGCGGGACAGCAGCCGUGGUGACAGAGUCCGUAGCGCGAGCUGUCUGUCAGUAGCGCAAUCCCUCUCAGGUGGGUCGGAGCCAGGGGGGAGAAAGAAGAUGGACGCGGAGCAGGAGUCGCGGUGGGCGGCGGCGCAGGCGAUCGGCGUCGGCGAGGACCUCGUCCCGGCCGCGCUGCGGCACCUGGAGUUCCUCGCCGCGGUCGACCGCCGCCGGUGGCUCUACGAGGGCCCGCUGCUCCACAGGGCCAUACGCAGGUACAAAGCUUGCUGGCUUCCCCUUCUUGCCAAGCACAAUGAGGCCGCUGUUGCAGAUGAGCCUUUGGUUGUUCCCCUUGAUUGUGAAUGGAUAUGGCACUGUCAUCGGCUUAACCCGACUCGAUACAUAAAGGACUGCAAGAGAUUAUAUGGCAGGAUGCUGGACUCUAAGAAUGUCAGGUCCUCCAUUCAUGCAAAGUCCAAGGAUCAGUCUGAGAAAGUUUGGACUGAGUUAUAUCCUGGGGAGCCUUUUGAGUUGGAGUACACAAGCCCUUCUGACGAUUCUGUUUACGUGGAUGAUGGAACUGCAGGGGGCAUUUCCUAUGAUUUGAUCUCAGCUGUUAAGAGACAGUCUACUUUCGUCUACCAGGUUGGAACACCAAACAUGCAUGAUCGCCGUUUUCUUGAAGACGCUUUAGCUCGGUACAAAGGCUUUUUGUAUCUGAUCAAGAUGAAUCAGGAGAAAGGAAUGAACCUCUUUCGUGUGCCAACCUACGAUGUGGAUCUAAUGUGGCACACCCACCAACUGAAUUCUGUUGCCUACUGCAAUGACAUGCUGUGUCUCCUUGGGAAAGUUCUGGAGCAUGAUGACACAGAUGAUGAUCGAGCCGAAGGGAAGAAGCUCGACACCGGAUUUUCAGGGACCACCGAGCAGUUUGAGAAUAGCUUUGGUGUGAGAUACUGGAAGGCUGGCGCUAUGUACCGUGGAAGCUUGCCAUCUCCUGUGACAUCCAUUCCACAGAUAUUCAGUACUAGUGAGGAUGAUAGUGUUUCCGGUGCCGAUAAAGCAGAGAAGCAUCUUACUAUUCUUGAAACAACAGUUGUGGAGUUACAUUUACAGAUUGUGGACAUCAAGAAUUUACCGUCUUCAAUUCCAGAGAAAAGCGUGUAUGUAUGGUUCACCAAGACUAAACCAGAUGCAUUCAUCCGUGAUGGCGGCAGGUUGGAUAUUUCUACGAAAACAGGGAAGAGCAUCGGAGCUGGUUUCCAAUGUGAACCGACUGGCGAUCUCAUUCUUACAGUAAUGAUUGAUCAGGCCUAUUUUGGGGCAUCAUCAUCAUCGAAGAAACCAGAACCGUUGGGGAAGGUUUCGAUCUCUGUUGAAGAGCUUACGCAGCAUGAUUCCAAGCUUUCCUUUGAGAGGUGGUUUGAACUGAAAACUUGUGGUGCGUAUGCCGGUUCCCCUCCUGUCAGUCUUCGUGUUGCUGCAUCUUGUACCGUCCCAAGGCAGGCUCCACACGUUCUUGGCAUGGUCAAUGUGAAGCCUUGCUCUCUGAAGGCCUGUAUAUUGCCACAUUCCAUCAAGGAUCAAAAUAUGAGCUCCUGGACUCGCUUCGUGUAUGAUUGUGGUACUGAACUCAUUCGUCUUCAGAUAAGGGAGCACAAGGCCAAGAGUGGCAUGGCUCUCACUCGGGAAUUGGUCGGAGUAACAAAGUCAUCAAAGCAGCCACUUCAGCUUGCAGAAUUCACAGAAAACAAAUGGUCUUUUAACAACUCCAACUCAUCCAUCACUCUUGACCUGAAACCAAGCAAGGAUGGCUGCAUAAACGAGCUCAAAUACGACAACAAACUGAUCAAACUAUACAAGGGAAGGAGACUAGCAUAUGAACUCAAAUGCUGCAGUCAGCAUACUGAUGAUACUGCAGCAGUUACUGCUGUGAAGUUCUCAGCUGAACACCCCUAUGGCAAAGCAGUCGCGCUAGUUGACACUGAAUCGGAAUUUAUCUCGGUGGAUGAGGAUUGGUUCCUGCUUCCCUGGAUCGCGAUAUCAUUCUUGUUCCUGAAUUCCAUUGGCAAAGAUGGUGCGAAGCUCAUCGAAGGUGCCAUGGCACAGAAGGCUGAAACCGUUGAGCCUGAUACUACAGUGGUUUCUCAGACGGUGAAAGGUGGAGCAGCAGGUGCCACUGCUGGUUCGGCGCAAUGUGGCGCUUGUGGCACGGCUGGUUGCGGUGACAUGGUCAUGGCAAGUGACAAGGCUGGUCAUGCUAGCUAUGGCAGCUCAGUCACUGCAAGUGACAAGGUGGCUGAUUCUAAGUGCGGUGGUUGUGGAUCAGGUUGUGGUGGUGGAUGCGGUGUCUCUGUGGUCACCAUGAGCUACAAGAAUGGUCAUGCGAGCUGUGGCAUCGUUGCAGGCGGCGAGAAUGGCCAUGUUGAGUCUGCUGGGUGUGGAUCAGGAUGCGGUGGUUCCUGUGGUGGCAACAUGGUUAUUGAAAGCUCCAAAGAGGGGAACACCGAGUCAGGUGGCUGUGGUUCAGGUUGUGGUGGAGGAGGCUGUGGCAGCAUGGCCAUUGAAGGCUCCAAGGCUGGCAUUGCCAAGUCUAGCGGCUGCGGUUCAGGUUGUGGUGGCGGUUGCAGCGGUAUGGUGGUUGAAGGCUCCAAAAAUGGCCAUGCCAAGUCAGGCGGCUGUGGCUCGGGCUGUGGUGGUGGUUGCGGCGGCAUGCUGAUCGAACACUCCAAAACUAGCUGCACCAAGUCUAGCGGCUGUGGCUCAGGCUGCGACGGUGGUUGUGGCAGCAUGGUCAUGGAAGGCUCCAAGAUGAGUCAUGCCAAGUCAGGGGGCUGCGGUUCAGGUUGUGGCGCCGGCUGCGGCGCAUGCUGA
rnacentral:rRNA from 1 species